rnacentral:rRNA from 1 species
CCGCGGUAAUUCCAGCUCCAAUAGCGUAUAUUAAAGUUGUUGCAGUUAAAAAGCUCGUAGUUGAACCUUGGCCCUGGCCGUCCGGUCCGCCUCACCGCGAGCACUGGUUCGGUUGGGGCUUUCCUUCUGGGGAUCCGCAUGUCCUUCACUGGGCGUGCCGGGGAACCAGGACUUUUACUUUGAAAAAAUUAGAGUGUUCAAAGCAGGCAUAUGCUCGAAUAUCUUAGCAUGGAAUAAUAGAAUAGGACGUGCGGUUCUAUUUUGUUGGUUUCUAGGACCGCCGUAAUGAUUAAUAGGGAUAGUCGGGGGCAUCAGUAUUCAAUUGUCAGAGGUGAAAUUCUUGGAUUUAUUGAAGACUAACUACUGCGAAAGCAUUUGCCAAGGAUGUUUUCAUUAAUCAGUGAACGAAAGUUAGGGGAUCGAAGACGA